GAGGGAGUAAGAGAGGGGUAGCAGGAGUGGAGCCCAGGGAGUGGCUUACCAUAAGACUAGAGGUCUACCCGUGAUCUCUUCACUCAGGGCCAGCCCACCCACAGAGCACCUAUUCAUUUCUAUAUUCUUGUCUCCCCUUGAAUCUCUGAACUGACCCCAAGUCCAAGGCUUCCAGUAAGGUCCUUCCUGGCUAUGCAGUUUGUGUGAGGGGAAGGUUAGCCCUGAGCUAACUACUGCUAAUCCUCCUCCUUUUGCUGAGGAAGACUGGCAAUGAGCUAUCAUGGUCAUCUUCCUCUACUUUAUACCUGGGACGCCUAACACAGCAUGUCUUUUGCCAAGCUGUGCCAUGUCCGCACCCGGCAUCCAAACCAACGAACCCUGGGCCGCCGAGGAGCGGAACGUGCGAACUUAACCGCUACGCCACCGGUCUGGCCCCUUGAUUUUAUUCUGACUUCCAUUCUCUGUGAUCUGAAAUGAAUCAUGUUCAGAAUGCAAAUUAAUUUACUUUAAACAUUCUCAUCUUGGUUUUAUUUCAAAAAUAGAAUAACUUGAUUAAAGAG
rnacentral:lncRNA from 1 species